AUGCCCCAUCCACCGGCGCCGCUCCAGCCCCCGCCCAUCCUCUGGCGCCGCCCUCGACCCAGUCACCGGCGCCGCCCCCGACCAGCCACCGGCGCCGCCUCGCCCAGGCGCCGGCGCCGUCCCCCGCCCAGGCGCCGGCGCCGUCCCCCGCCCAGGCACCGGCGCCGCCCCCCGCUCACGCGCUUCCCAGAUCCCACCCCCACCCUCGCCACCAAACCACCAAUACACCGAGCAGCUUCACAUUCUUCUCUCCUNNNNNNNNNNNNNNNNNNNNNNNNNNNNNNNNNNNNNNNNNNNNNNNNNNNNNNNNNNNNNNNNNNNNNNNNNNNNNNCCGCUGACAUUCCUCCCCACGAGCUGCCGUGCUGAUGAUGGACGACCUGCCGCCCUCUUCGCGCCAUCGGCUUCCCGUGCCGCCGCCGCCGCUGCUUCUGCUUCUGUUGCUCGUCUCCGUCUCCUGCCCGCUCGCCGCAGCACUGGAGGAGGACUUGGUGCUCAGGAAUGGGGUACGAGUACGGACGCCGCUUCCGUUGAACUCAGUGGAAAAAAAGUGGAACCUGCAGGAGAAGCCACGGGGGGCGAGGACGUCCAACUCGGCGAGAUUAACGUCAUAGUCGACCCCAUGUUCGCUGGCAAGACCACCGUGGUUCUCCACCGGCACCGCCCAUGGCUGGAGCUUGCCGGCGAUGGCGGAUGUGGAGCUUCACCACCUUUCGCAGCCCCAAACCGUGAUCCAGUUCUUCGUGAGGCUCUCGAGCUUGUAUUUUUUUCCAAUUCAUCUAAUGUUAGGGACAGUCAUCCUGGUGCAUGGGAGCAACUGCUGAUGGAGGACGAGUCAAAGUGUUGUGACUGGCUGCUGCAGAUCCUCUGAUGGAGGUUCAAAGAUUGUCCUGGCGCAAGUUCAAGAGUUUAGCAUGCGUGAGUCGUCCAUCAUCUUCCCUCAUGUAGCAUCGGAGUCUCUCCUCCCCCUUGCCGCACACACAGGCCAGGCUGUCUAGCACCUCCUCAGGUGAGGACGGCGGCGAGGCCCGACACCGCUGCGUCCAGCAGUCCAACACCGCCGCCGGAGGCCGUUCACUGUCGCAAUGCCUACUUUCUCCCGUGCCUCCUUCCCAGUCAUCGAGAGACCUGACGGAAGAAGGCAGAACCUCUGUCUCGUACACAGUAAUAUUGCUCUCUCAUCUCUCAUCUCGUAGGCAGUAAUAUUGCUCGUCAGUUCACUUCAUGUUUGUUCGUAUGUCUAAAAAUAAUUGAGUUUAUAUAGGAGUUCAAAUGGAUAAAAAAUGAAUAGUUAUAUGUUUGAAGUUCAUCGACCAAAAUUCUAAAAGUUCAAACUGAGAAACGUGGUAAGUUCGAACGAAAAAUAAAUGAGCCCUUCUGACAUUUUCACUGAGAAAAAGGUAAGGAGUUUAUGUAUAACUGUAGCUAGUGCCCCAUCGAAUCAACAUUGCGAUGUAGUAAAAUAGUUUGUUUACAUCUCUCUAGCUAUAUGAGAAUGAAUGUUUUGUUAUUAUAUCUGUUUCAUUGCUUGUCUUCAGUCACCUAAAUAAGUUCAAGAAAAAUCUGUAAGUUUGGUGCGUGUGCUGCUACAAAUCUAAACUUCUUGUCCAAUAAUUCUAGUACUGAUGAGCAUCGAGUUGAUUGAAAUCAUGUACUCCUAGUUGGUUUCUAAGCCCCUUAAUGGUCCUUCUAUAUAUAGAAGAUGUGCCUGAUAGCCAUACAUGACUUUUGUGUAUGACAAAUGGUGCGAGGAAAUUCUGAAUACAUGGCACAGCCGCUCUUGGACAGUAAACAUUUAUAUCUUAUUUAUUAGUGCAGCCAGUCUGUUUUCUUUUUGACCAAAGAACAGUAGGGUAACAGCCCUACUGUGUGUCAUUUUUCAUUAAUAAGGGGAAACAGAAUGUAAUGUCUUACAGUGGUUGUUUGGGUAACAACCAAAAAAAUGAAAGGAUUACAACAUAAAUGGAAAAGGUAAGAAAAAGCCAGUCUGUGCUUCUUCAGUUCUAAAAUUCCCAGAGCGUCAGUGCAACUACAUAUCAGGGUAUGCUAUGUUGAUUCUAUAAUUUUCCGUAUGCUUGUAUGUACAAAAAUAUGGUAUAUUUACUGCUUGCAACUUUCAAUUAUGUUUUGUUCUAAAGCUACUUGCUGUAAAGUAGUGUAUGUGCUAGGGUUUCAGUACAGCUUCCAAAAUAAAAUGUGGUUCAAGUUCUCAAAUUGUUUAGAAGAAGAUAGGAAAGGAAGUCUUGAAUGGAAAGCUCAUAUGAGUGUGAAUGGUUUGAGUAAAUUGUUGAAGAUUAGAUAGGAGUGAAAAAACAAAAGGUAUAUAAGUGAUGCUAAAAACUGAGAUGUCAAAUUUAACAUUCUAUUAUUUCUGUUCUUUUAUUUUCUUUUAGUUUUGGUGUCUGAAUUUGUGGAUAUAUGAGCAGGCCCCAAUAUUUAUUUCUUCAGUUCUCUUCCGCCGUCAGGUCGCAGCCUCUUCCUUCUGCAGGUCACCACCCCCUGCUUCUGCAGGCCGUGCCACAUCCCCCCAUUCCCGCAGCGGACAGCCCGUUCACCGCCGGCACCAUAGUUCGUUCACUACCGACAGCCGAGGCCGUUCAACGACGCAACGACGAGUACUAGUUUGGAAGGCCAGGAAGUUCUACUUCUGGCAUAAGCCAACGGAGCAUCGGUCAAAGAAGGCCGAUGCGCCUCAUGCCAGCUCCGGGCAUCGCCGGAGGUCCUAUCUGUUCUUCCCCCGCCCCCGUGCACUCACCGUCGAGCCUAUCCAUGCACAGCUCUAGUAUUGAUGAGCUUCAGGCUUGUCGUUGUUCAUGCAGAUUAAUUCUUUGUUAAUUGCUAUUGCACAUUCAGUAAAUGUAGCCUUUGUCUUCUCAGUGAAGUUUUAUUGUGAAGAUUUUUUAAUGCACACGGAAACCAGAUUGUCUGCUGCUACAUGCGCAUCAUAUGCGUAUUUUACCAUUGAGAAACCUCAUCAUAUGUAAAUGUCUUCUAACUCUAGAUUUUGAUGAUGCAAAGUUGUAUCCGUGUACACAUUUCUUAUUUCUAUUGCUCUUGGUUCAAAUGACCAAUUGCUAUAAGUUCCUAUGUGUGUUAGAGAACAAUAGUGUUUGGUCGGGUCAAGCUUUGCACUAGUGGAAAUUUUUUUGUACCCUUGUGCGAAAGCACUUUAUUUUCUGAUGAUUAUUAUUAUUGUCAUGUGGGUGUGGUUGAACAUUUGCUGUGCAGGAAAUAGGCCUGCGAUUUUUGUGUUGCGGUGGGUGCUAUGGAUAAUAUGAAAAUGUGCAGUCCGUGUGGUGUAUAUGUCAUUCAUCUAUGAAAAUGUGCA
rnacentral:rRNA from 1 species